rnacentral:rRNA from 1 species
CUUGCAAACUGGAGAUGGCGACCGGCGCACGGGUGAGUAACACGUAUCCAACCUGCCGACAACUCGGGGAUAGCCUUUCGAAAGAAAGAUUAAUACCCGAUGGCAUAAUUAGACCGCAUGGUCUUAUUAUUAAAGAAUUUCGGUUAUCGAUAGGGAUGCGUUCCAUUAGGCAGUUGGUGAGGUAACGGCUCACCAAACCUUCGAUGGAUAGGGGUUCUGAGAGGAAGGUCCCCCACAUUGGAACUGAGACACGGUCCAAACUCCUACGGGAGGCAGCAGUGAGGAAUAUUGGUCAAUGGACGAGAGUCUGAACCAGCCAAGUAGCGUGAAGGAUGACUGCCCUAUGGGUUGUAAACUUCUUUUAUAUGGGAAUAAAGUUUUCCACGUGUGGAAUUUUGUAUGUACCAUAUGAAUAAGGAUCGGCUAACUCCGUGCCAGCAGCCGCGGUAAUACGGAGGAUCCGAGCGUUAUCCGGAUUUAUUGGGUUUAAAGGGAGCGUAGGUGGACAGUUAAGUCAGUUGUGAAAGUUUGCGGCUCAACCGUAAAAUUGCAGUUGAUACUGGCUGUCUUGAGUACAGUAGAGGUGGGCGGAAUUCGUGGUGUAGCGGUGAAAUGCUUAGAUAUCAC